UACAGAGGGUGCGAGCGUUAAUCGGAUUUACUGGGCGUAAAGGGCGCGUAGGCGGUUAUGUAAGUGAGAUGUGAAAUCCCUGGGCUUAACCUAGGAACUGCAUCUCAUACUGCGUAGCUAGAGUAUUGUAGAGGGUAGUGGAAUUUCCGGUGUAGCGGUGAAAUGCGUAGAUAUUGGGAAGAACACCGGUGGCGAAGGCGGCUCACUGGCUCAUUACUGACGCUCAGGCGCGAUAGCGUGGGGAUCAAACAGG
rnacentral:rRNA from 1 species